AACAGGAGUGCUUCUGGUAUCCCUCAAACCCCGGUGCUCAUGGAAGAGGAGACUUUUAAAAAGUGGAGGAAAACUUGAGACCAAAAGCAUAAAUGAUCCAGGUCCAGGACUCAGAACAUAAAAGUCCUUUAACUCAUAGGGCUAGAAAGAUUUAAAAUACACUAACUCUGGUGACACCUGUGGUUACUGCAGAGAGUUUCACCUGUCGAUAAGGAGCUGCAGAAUUUUCCCGAUCGCUUCCUGGUACGUUUCAGGAUGUCAGUGGUCCAGUUUGAUACACUGCGCUAUACUGGAACCACAGAUUAAAAAGAAGAACACCAAUUUCUGCAAAGCAAUUGAUCCUCAACAGCAGCUGGCAGUAUGUUGGAGUUUGUCGUGACCCCAGGUUGAUGACAGGUGUGCCAAAGGCCCCGGCCUCUCGUACCCCGCAGCUGCUGUUUCCGAUCAUGCAGCCGGCGUGGCACACCAGCUGGAUGAACUGCUCGAAGGGAAUGUGCUUCACUGCCCGAAAGUUUGGGUGCUUCUCGAUGCCCUUCUUUCGCAUCACGCGCACCAUCCCCUUACUUCCUGUUUUCAUAAAAAAAAACGCCAGGACACAGAUGCAUCGAUAAAGUUUCAAGCAAACCAAAGUCUAGCAUCCGGCAGGCAGAAAAACAGAAAGACACUGAUGAAGCAGCAAGGGUACAAACCUGCAUCAAUGUUGGGGAAGAGGAUGAGGGUCUUUUUGUUAAAGGAGAUCAGAGCGUCCAGCAUCAGACCAUAGAUCUUGAUGGAGUGCUGGAUGUCAGUGGUAACUGGAUGCUGUAAAGCCACUAUGUAGUCAUGAUCCUGCACGUUGUCCCCUGCAACAUGAACACAGUUAACACAGGUAUAACUCAAAUGUCUCACAUGAUGUUUCUUUGUCUCCACGUACCCAGCCAGCUCUUGAUCACAUCCAUGUAGUCCUCUCGACGACUAGUGGACAGCAGCUUGUCAUAUGAAGGGCAGCCGGCCAGCAGGAUGCGAGAGUGGUCCUCACACAUGGCGAUGAGGUGCUGCUCUGCCGUGCGUGUGCAGCAGGCGUGGUAAUGGGCCAGUUUACUGAUGGCAUGGCGGAUGGAGUCAUCGAUCGUACCGCUCACCUGGAAGAAAGAGCAACGGAGGAAAGUUUGUUAAAAAAAAAGUAGAGUCAAGAUUUUAUAAACAUCUAUAUCAUCUACAUUUCAUCUACAGAGAGAUAUCCCCCUGUACACUGUAAAAAGUACAACACUAUAGUUAUGAUAUAUCACUAAGUCAACCAUCUCAUGUACGAGCGCUGCCUCCUCACCUCUCCUCCCUCCAGGUGAAGUAUUCUAAUGUUCAUCAGCGCUGCAGCGGUUGCCAGAGCCAGCGCGUCAAAGCGGUCGCCGUGGACGACCAGGAUGUCAGGGCGCAGCCUCUGUAGGACAUCAGGGAGUUUGACAAGUGCCAGACCAACGCUCUCCACCAUGGCUGCCUCAUCCUCUCCUCUCACAAUGGUGUGAAGCUUGGAGCUGAUGUCAAAGUCAUCCUGCUCGAUCAUACGAAUCGUGCUGCUGCAGAUGUUGAAUAAAUUGUAGUUUGCACUAUUAAUGCAGACCCAGUGUGCAGUGCCAACCAUACAGUGCUUCACUGUUCUGCAACAAGCUUUAAGGAGGAUGCUACUGUGCCCGCUGGUCUUACCCGUAGUCAUCGAUGAGGUGAGAGCCGAGCACCACGACUUCCAGUUCAAACUCGUCGGGGUGGGAUUUGAUCCCACACAUGAUGGGUGCCAGCUUGGAGUAGUCGGCUCUGUUGCAUGUGGCCACACACACCCUCAACUUCCUCUGACACUUCAUCAAACAGAGGUGUAACCAUCACACACACACACACACACACACACACACACACACACACACACACACACACACACAGAUCAUUUGUUGGUUUUAAUUUUUUAGCUCAGCACAUAAAAACACUCUCCUCUUCCCUCUGUAGGAAUAUUAACUUCUCCACACGACUCUGGGCUUUAACUACAGGCUUCUUAAAAAUGUUUUUGAUUUCCACAAGUAUCUUAAGACACUCAGUCCUACCUCAUUCUGCUCAUCCAUGUUCUUCCUCUCCAUCCUGUCUCUGCUUCUUUGCAUUCUCAGAUAGUAGAGCUCCUGCAAAACAAGGGAGGAAAACACAGAGUGAGAUCCAGAGACGUUUUUUGAAGAGCUUUUUAAGAUCCUUUUAUUUCAGUACAAACCCGCUCACAGGUCAUACUCACUUGGGCCUUCCAAUCAUUCAGAUGCUGUUGCAUGAAAACACAACAAAGCUACACUAAAAAUGGUUUGUAUUCACAGGGAACAACAUAUACUAAUGUACUCUUCAAGGACAGGAAACAUGCUGCAGUGCUUUGCAUGACAAGGCAAAUGUCACACUCACACCUGGUUCACUCUGGUAACAUGACAGAAGGAAGCUGGUCAUGAUCGAGGAUGUUUGAGGAUGUUUUAAUUACCAUCUGGUUUCUCCAGUUAGGGGGCCACUCCUUGGUCAAAUACACGUGAAGGAACUUUUUAUUAUUUGCCUUGUUUCUGGCUAAAUAAAGUUGCUGUCUUUCUGUGUUCUGCUGAGCAAAGACAAGCCCCAAAUUCC